UCAAGAGUGGAGAGGAGCAGCCUGUUAGGACUGACCAGCCCUGCCACCUGGGCCAUGGUGAGGUCCCAGCCUGAGCUGUCACUGAGAGCCAUGUCUGAGUCCAUAGUGGCAAAGAUUUUGAGCCUGAUCUCAGUCACUUCUCAACUACUCAGGCUUGCUGCCAUCUUCUUCAAAAACAUGUCGUUAGAACCUCAAGCAACUGCCAUGUUUCUUACACAUUCUACAGUGAGACGGGCUGCAUAUUUGAAGGGGCGUUGAGAGUUGAGCAGAAGAAUGAAGAGUAAAUGAGAAAUGGAAUUCAAUCCGUCCUCAAGGAACUGGUGCUGAGGCAUUUCAGAAAAGACCAGACAAUUCCUAAGGAUUUGGCAGGAAGUUCCUUCCAAACUUGAACCAUGUCCCAUUUAAAGACUUCUAAUAAGAUGCUGUUCUGUGUGGCUAAUAGUGCAUCUCAGGCAAUCAGCCAUACAGGAAUACUGACCAGUACUUUGUGAGGCAUGUAUGCUAAGAUCUCCGUGGAUUGUCUUGACACCUUUUAAAAGCAACUCACGACAAAACUAAGGUACCUUGAUUUUGGCAUGCAGCUUCACGUAACAUAAUCACCAAAACAGACCAUCAGAGAGUAACUCACUUGGCACCCAUACCUCCUGCUGGGAGGUUAUGUGAACAGAUUAAGUUUGGCUUAAGUUGUAUAAAUGGAAGAAUAUUAUGUGCCACCCCCAGAUGGGUAACGCUACAACUUUUAACCUUAACAAUCUCAGAUAGCUAAAAAAAAUAAUUAAAGCUUCCAAGGAUCCCACCA